rnacentral:rRNA from 1 species
CCUACGGGGGGCAGCAGUAGGGAAUAUUGCUCAAUGGGGGAAACCCUGAAGCAGCAACGCCGCGUGGAGGAUGAAGGUUUUAGGAUUGUAAACUCCUUUUGUUAGAGAAGAUUAUGACGGUAUCUAACGAAUAAGCACCGGCUAACUCCGUGCCAGCAGCCGCGGUAAUACGGAGGGUGCAAGCGUUACUCGGAAUCACUGGGCGUAAAGAGUGCGUAGGCGGGGUAAUAAGUCAGAUGUGAAAUGCUGUAGCUUAACUACAGAACUGCAUUUGAAACUGUUACUCUGGAGUGUGGGAGGGGGAGGUGGAAUUCUUGGUGUAGGGGUAAAAUGCGUAGAGAUCAAGAGGAAUACUCAUUGCGAAGGCGAGCUGCUGGAACAUUACUGACGCUGAGGCACGAAAGCGUGGGGAGCAAAAAGGAUUAGAUACCCUGGUAGUC